rnacentral:rRNA from 1 species
CAAUACUCAGCCCGAUCUUGCUACCAAGCUUUAUUCCUAGGAUCCACCUCCUCGUUCACUUGGCACCUCACUUGGCGGAACUGGGCUCCCCUAAACACCAAGUUCUUCAUCUGUCUUGCCUCGCUUGAUCAUUGUUGGACCAUGGAUCGCCUUGCGCGCCAUGGAAUCCAGCACGACCCCGACUGCUCACUCUGCUCUCAAGAACCGGAGACCCUGCACCACCUCCUGGUGGGCCGCGCCUUCUCCAAGAUCACAUGGCACGAGAUCAUAUCAUGGUGUCGAGCGACUAUCACACCAUCAGACGGACCAACCACCUUCUUCACCUGGUGGUCUGACUCCAUCGGCGGCUCCCCCGCA